GCCAGGCAUGGUGGUGGGUGCCUGUAAUCCCAACUACUCGGGAGGCUGAGGCAGGAGAAUCACUUGAGCCCGGGAGGCGGAGAUUGCAGUGAACUGAGAUCGUGCCACUGCACUCCAGCCUGGGCAACAGAGUGAGACUCGGUCUCUA
rnacentral:SRP_RNA from 1 species